GACGAACGCUGGCGGCGUGCUUAACACAUGCAAGUCGAACGGAAAGGCCCUGCUUUUGUGGGGUGCUCGAGUGGCGAACGGGUGAGUAACACGUGAGUAACCUGCCCUUGACUUUGGGAUAACUUCAGGAAACUGGGGCUAAUACCGGAUAGGAGCUCCUGCUGCAUGGGGGGGGUUGGAAAGUUUCGGCGGUUGGGGCUGGACUCGCGGCUUAUCAGCUUGUUGGUGGGGUAGUGGCUUACCAAGGCUUUGACGGGUAGCCGGCCUGAGAGGGUGGCCGGCGACAUUGGGACUGAGAGACGGCCCAGACGCCUACGGGAGGCAGCAGGGGGGAGUAUUGCACAAUGGGGGGAAGCCUGAGGCAGCAACGCCGCGUGCGGGAUGACGGCUUUCGGGUUGUAAACCGCUUUCGCCUGUGACGAAGCGGGAGUGACGGUAAUGGGUAAAGAAGCACCGGCUAACUACGUG
rnacentral:rRNA from 1 species